GCUUAAACCAAAUCCUUGUUGGCAUUGAUACUUUAGACAAACUGGUAGUAGUACAUUAUCCCAUGAAAAUACUAGAAUGAGCUAUACAUAGAGGACCUUUACUUAAGUAGUUCUAGCUUACAUUGCAUGCUUGAGGCUUCAACCUUAAUGCUGGGUACUUGAGUACAUUAAUUACUACUGAUUGUUAAUGUGAUUAUGCUAACUGAUUUUUGAAGCGAGUGAUUAUGCUAAUUGCUAAUUAAAGUGAGGUACUACUGUUCAGUGUGUUCAUCAGUGCUGGCUUUGUGUGAUCAAACGAGGAGAGGCUUCUCCUCCGCCAUGGCCUUCUCCUUGCUCUCCGGCCGGAGCUCCAGCAGCAGCUUCACGACGGACCUCAUCGACGGGCGGUUGAUCGGGAGGCUGGACGCGCAGAGCAGCGCGACGUUGAGCGCCCUCCGCGUCUCGUCGCGCGGCGCGCCGGCGAGCCUCCCGUCGAGCACGCGGUCGACGCCGUCGCGCUCGACGCCGCCGCACACCCACCUGACGAGGUCCUUCUCCCCGAGCUCCGGCCCCGCCGGCGCCUUGCCGGUGAGGAGCUCCAGCAUCACCACGCCGAAGCUGUACACGUCGCUCUUCUCCGUGAUACGCAGCGUGUACGAGUACUCUGGGAAAUCAAGAAUCGUUAGCGGGCGCCAUGGCGAUGGCGAUCGAGGAGCCGGCGAUGGCGGACACGGCGGUGGGCGGCGCGGCGGAGACGGCCCUGGCGACGCCGAAGUCGGCGACCUUGGCGCGGAGGUCGGCGUCGAGGAGGAUGUUGUUGGACUUGACGUCGCGGUGCACGAUCGGCGGCGCGCAGUCGUGGUGGAGGUAGGAGAGACCCUCGGCGGCGUCGACCAUGAUGCGGUGCCGCGCCGGCCAGUCGAGGAGGCCGCCCUUGCCGCCGUGGAGGAGGUCGCCGACGCUGCCGUUGGGCAUGUACUCGUAGACGAGCAGCCGCCGGUCGCCGCUGCUGAGGCUGCACCACAGCUUCACGAUGUUCUUGUGCCGUAUCCUCCCCAGCGUCGCCACCUCCGCCUCGAACGUGUCCUUGCCGCCGCCGCCGCCGCCGCCGCCGGCGGCUUCCAUGGCCGCCGCCUUCUUCGCCGCGCCGCCGUUAGCCCAGAGCUUCUUGACGGCGACGACGGCGCCGUCGUCGCCGCCGCGGGCGCCGUUCCCGAGGACGGCCUUGUACACCUUGCCCGCUGCGCCCGUGCCGACCACGUUGUCCUCGUCGUCGAGGCAGCUCAGGAUGUCCUCCUCGUCGAACUCCGCCUU
rnacentral:lncRNA from 1 species